rnacentral:rRNA from 1 species
UACGAAGGGAGCGAGCGUUGUUCGGAAUUACUGGGCGUAAAGCGUGCGUAGACGGUUGCGUAAGUCAGGCGUGAAAGCCCCCGGGCUCAACCUGGGAACCGCGCUUGAGACUGGAGAACUGGAGUUCGGGAGAGGAUGGUGGAAUUCCCGGUGUAGCGGUGAAAUGCGCAGAUAUCGGAAGGAACACCUAUGGCGAAGGCAGCUCGCUGGGGACGUUUACUGACGCUGAGACGCGAAAAAGCGUGGGGGG